rnacentral:rRNA from 1 species
CGUAUCACCCAAGACAACUUUACGGAGUUGACGAUUGACGGAGCGAAGCGACGUCAAAGCGUUCAUUAAAGUCGAGUUGGCUUAGGGAUACGUUCGUUGGGUAGGGGAGCGUUCUGUAAGCCUGUGAAGGUGUGUCGUGAGGCAUGCUGGAGGUAUCAGAAGUGCGAAUGCUGACAUAAGUAACGAUAAAGCGGGUGAAAAGCCCGCUCGCCGGAAGACCAAGGGUUCCUGUCCAACGUUAAUCGGGGCAGGGUGAGUCGACCCCUAAGGCGAGGCCGAAAGGCGUAGUCGAUGGGAAACGGGUUAAUAUUCCCGUACUUGGUGUUACUGCGAAGGGGGGACGGAGAAGGCUAUGUUGGCCGGGCGACGGUUGUCCCGGUUUAAGCGUGUAGGUGUGUGUUCCAGGUAAAUCCGGUUCACUUUAACACUGAGGCGUGAUGACGAGGCACUACGGUGCUGAAGCAACAAAUGCCCUGCUUCCAGGAA